AGAGGGAGCAACUGUAUGGAAUUAGAUUGAACUCAUGAUGUAAUUAAUAAUAUUUAUUAUUUUCGGUUUUGCUAACCGAACUUAUAAAUUUGAUUUCUAAUGUGAGUUUAUCCACUAUUUAUAUAUACAUUUUUAGGUUAUAUUUUAUUUAAUGUGAACUUUUUUUACAUAUAUUCUCAUAUUUAAGACUAAAUAUUAAAAUGCGACUCGGGUUAUCCGAUAAUAGUUAUGUUGUAACAUGUAGCCAUAUAUAUUGGAUUGACUUUGAUGUCAUAUUAUAAAUAUUUGGAUCAAAGAGAUGAACAUUCAUCAAAUUAAAAAAGUAAGCUUGAGAGUUUGAUAAGAAAAUAAACUAUUUAAAGUUUAUAUUUAUU
rnacentral:lncRNA from 1 species